UGGGGAAUAUUGGACAAUGGGGGCAACCCUGAUCCAGCAAUGCCGCGUGUGUGAAGAAGGUCUUCGGAUUGUAAAGCACUUUCGACGGGGACGAUGAUGACGGUACCCGUAGAAGAAGCCCCGGCUAACUUCGUGCCAGCAGCCGCGGUAAUACGAAGGGGGCUAGCGUUGCUCGGAAUGACUGGGCGUAAAGGGCGUGUAGGCGGUUUACACAGUCAGAUGUGAAAUCCCCGGGCUUAACCUGGGAGCUGCAUUUGAUACGUGUAGACUAGAGUGUGAGAGAGGGUUGUGGAAUUCCCAGUGUAGAGGUGAAAUUCGUAGAUAUUGGGAAGAACACCGGUGGCGAAGGCGGCAACCUGGCUCAUGACUGACGCUGAGGCGCGAAAGCGUGGGGAGCAAACAGGGUUAGAUACCCUGGUAG
rnacentral:rRNA from 1 species